AUUGAACGCUGGCGGCAUGCCUUACACAUGCAAGUCGAACGGCAGCGCGGGCUUCGGCCUGGCGGCGAGUGGCGAACGGGUGAGUAAUACAUCGGAACGUGCCCUGUCGUGGGGGAUCACUAGUCGAAAGAUUAGCUAAUACCGCAUACGACCUGAGGGUGAAAGCGGGGGACCGUAAGGCCUCGCGCGAUAGGAGCGGCCGAUGUCGGAUUAGCUAGGUGGUGGGGGAAAGGCCCACCAGGGCGACGAGCAGUAACUGGGCGGAGAGGACGAUCAGCCGACCUGGGGCUGAGCCCCGGCCCAGGCUCCUGCGGGAGGCAGCAGUGGGGAAGUUUGGACAAUGAGGGCAAACCUGAUCCAGCAAUGCCGCGUGUGUGAAGAAGGCCUUGGGGUUGGAAAGCACUUUUGUCCGGAAAGAAAACCUCUGGCCUAAUACGGCGGGGGGAUGACGGUACCGGGAGAAUAAGCACCGGCUAACUACGUGCCAGCCGCCGCCGUAACAC
rnacentral:rRNA from 1 species